UUUCUUCAUAGCAUAACUGCUGUCUGAACUCACGUCAGUGAAAUAUCACUUUGAGUGCUGCCCAGCUCGCCUUCGGGUUCCGUACUUGCCACAGGAAGACACCAUCAGAGAGUGAAAUGGUGCAGGGAACGAGUCAGUUUGAACCUAUCCUCAUGAACAGCUCAGGAAAGGAUAUUGCCUCAAGGAAGGCAAGCUAUGAAGCUGUGCAGAAGCAGGCACAGCAGAGCAGGACCACAACACCAGGAAGCAGCAAACCACAGACAAGCCAGACAUCAAAUCCAUGGGGUCCUGUUUUUAAGAACAAAUCACAUUUUGUUGACAUGCACAUCUGUUAAAAAUCACAUGUAUUAUUAUCAGAAAAAACUUUCAAAAUAACUACAAUGUUACAUAGCUAACAUCAUUUUUUCAUUUCUUGCUUACAUGAUCCAUAAUUAUUUAUUCUCAUAAGUAUAACAUAUGUAAACUCUUCUGUGUAUUUUCAAAUCCAGUAUAAACAAAGAGGUUAGAAUGUGCAAUGUAUGCUCAGAGUUCUGUUGAUUGCAUGAUGAAUCAGAGAGAGAAUGAAAAUAAUUUACUGUCUACAUGGUAAAAACAGUUUUCUUAAAAGACUGAAUACGCAACACAGGUUAUCUGUGAGGACCAUGACUACAAAUAUAUUAAGAUGGUUUGCUUUCAAACUAGUCACUGGAGUGCUGUUAGUUCUGACUUAAGAUUUUAAUGUUAUCAGAGUUUGUAUAUUAGUCUAUAUAAAACUACAUCAAAAUAACUUAAAAUGAUUGGUCAUUAAAUGCUCAAUCACAGUUGCUGUAAAUGCUACGAAUGGCACAACAAAGGACUGUAAUCAUGCAUUUUAAUGUGCCAGUACAAUGUGUUUCUCAAUAGUUUUGUAGAAUAAAAAGUGAAACAAGUCUACAAGCAUCA